CUGAAAGUUUUACUCUUAAUUGUUUAUAUAGUAUAGAUGGAGGACUUCUAUAUGUGCUCCUGAACUCCUGGAUUUAAUAUGUGACAUGCAUGUGCGAAACCAUAGGAAUACAAAUCAACCUCAGAGAGUUACGGUAUAAUUAUUUGCUAUACUACAAGUUGUGAUUCGGUAGAUUUUUUAUACCAAUAUUAAUCUCAUUCUAAAUAUUGCAAAAAAAUAUCUGCACAAUGUGGAUAACAAUAAUACCCAUGUAUGUGUGACCGAAAAACAUUUGUCGCAUUUUUCUUGCUUCCUUUUGUUUGCAUGUUAACUUGAGAUUAUUUUUAUGCGUUUGUAAUGUACUGAGUUCAGGAAACACAAGCCAGCACACACAAUUCUAACUAAAUCAUGGUACAUUAGGUGGUUAUGAAGAUGGCUUCGUCAGAACUUAUCAGUUCAUGAAGAUCCAGGAGACGGGUUGCGAUCAAGAGAUUCCGGCUAGGCAAGUACACGAAAGUCCUCAACUUCACUACAUUGAGGUAAUCAAACUACUCAAGGAGUUGAAAGAUCCUAAUAUUAUAGAGCUAAUUGAUGCUCUCCAUUACAAGGGCAACUUGCAGCUUGUAUCCAAGUUCAUGGAAAUGGACCUGGAAGUUGUCAUACGUGAUAGGUACAUUUUAGUAUCUCCAGCGGACAUUAAAUCUUAUAUUCAGAUGAUGUUGAAAGGUCAAGCAUUCUGCCACAAGAAAUGGGUGCUACACAGGUACUGACUAUCUGAUUGUUUUCUAUUAAAUAAAACAACAAACUGAAGGAUAGCUCAAGCUUUGGGACUUUGGUCUGACGUGCAUAUUUGAUAGUCCAGGAUGAUACUUCACUCACCAGGUUCUUAUUAAUAGAUUUAUUUCUGUGGUUAUGCAACCAGUGAAUUGUGUCACGGACUCCCAGAAUUUCCGAAACUUCCCAUUUAAAGAAAAUAUCUAUUGAUAACUCUCUUCAUGUAGUAUUAUUAUUUCUUAUGCUGCAUAUUUUUGUAGGCCGUCUGUAAAAUGCUGGUUGAUGGUUUUAAUUUUCUGCUUGUCAGUUAAGAACACGACACAUGCUUGCCAGUAUAUGUUGAUCUUACAGUCUUUUCCAAUCACAAUAUUCAUUUGAAGUACCUUGGCACUUUGGCACAUACAUAAAUUUGUUUGUAGCUUCUUCCCAAUGUAAUUUUGAAUACUUUUCGAGCCCCUUGCAGUAGCAUUUUCCUAAAAGAUGCAAUAUCUUAAGCCAACUAAUACUUAAGGGAAGUAUCCUUGAAAGUGCUCACUUUUCUAGGAUGUAAAAAAGAUUUCUGGAUAGAACAUGCGUAUAGAUUAUCUUUAUGAUAUUCCGAGAACAUAUGAAUGAUAUUUGCUUCCUAUAUGAGCUUUUGGAUUGCUCUUUUGAACAUCUCUACCUACAAUUAGAGUGCAGCAGGUUGUUGCCCACUAAAAUAGGGAAUUAUCCUUUUGGCAUCUCUCAAUAGUGGUACUUUUUAUGGAUAAAUAUGGGUACAAAAGUGUUGCCAGCUAGGUUUAGUCCUCUUACACAUUCAUUGUACCGCAUUGAUAACAAGAUAAUAUUGUUUUCUUGGUUUGGAAAUUAAAAUUCAAGUCCGACAAAGACUGUGAGCAGGCUGGGCACAAGUGUCACACCGAUGCAAGUCUCUCAUAGCCCACGCAAGGACAUGAUUUGUUCAUAUCAGCAAUAAUGUAUUUUUAAAGUUAAACUUAUGCUAUUGAAGUGUUAUAUUUCCUAUCGGUUCAGAGGCAUGACCAAAUGUAACCUCUGAAGUUGAUCAUGGGACAAAUCACAAUUGAAACAAUGUUUUGUGCAAACUGCACUGAUAAUUUUUCAUGCAACUUGAGUGUAGCAAGGCAUGAUAGUUACGCAAGAUGUAUCCUCUCUGCUCUAAAGUUGAUUGGAGAAUACUUGCUACCAAAACAUGUUGAUCAGCCGGUUGCAUUCAAUAUUUUCAAAAAUGAGGAAGCAAAGUUUCGAUGCAACGUCACAAUAUCAAGAAUUUCCUCCAGGCAACAGUGUUGGAAUACUGGUUGUCAAAGCUGUAAACAGAUGGCUAGACCAGUCAAUUCUACAUGAGCAGAUCCACACACAUCUACCUGUAGUAGUUCAAGUUGUCACUGUACGCUGCAAAAUGUUGUGCAAGUGAUUCCGUUUUAUAGCCUGAUUUUUACGUCCUAAAAUAAUAUUUCUUAGAUUCUUAUUUCCCGAAGCUAGGCAUGCGAUUUGGUUCUAGACUCGCUAUAAAAUUGGUACACAGAGUAGGCUAUUUUCCAUCUAGACUAGCAAUGAAUAUUAUUGCGGAGAUGGUAGACUUUUGGGCUCCUCUAUGCUGUAAAAAACACGAUAGACCUGAUGUUAGCUAUGAUUUUUUGUCAUGAUUUACUUCAGCCUUAAAUGUUCAAUCCUCUAACCAACUUCAGUCAUUUCCAAUGAUGUUAGCUGUUGCGUUUUCAUUUACAUAUCUAUAUUUCUAUUGCAGUAUUUACUUUGAUGCAUGUUGUUUCUUAUUUAACUGAUAUCAGCCUAUAAAAUCACUGGAACAAUUUCGUUUCAUAGGUAUCUGACCAUUAAUGUUGACAUUGUUGCUAGACAAGUAUGCUACCCUGCGGUGUGUUUCAGCAAGUUCAAAUCUGAAGCACACUCUGGCACACAUACUUCACUCUAUAAUACUUUACUCUUUUUCAGGCUACAAAAGCUUUGGUAUGCAAAUCAGAGUUCAAGCAUAUCUUAUUUCAGUCAUCAUUUACUCUUAUCACUUUGCUUUAUACGAACAUAAUCAUACCAUCAAGAAACCAUCAAGGGUGGUGUAGAACAGUAGAAGCCGCCUGUCAUGCCAUGAAGCUUCAGAUUGUGAGUAGCCUAAUGAAUGGUUCCUCACAGAUGGUCAUGUCUGUUGCUACAUGGGCAAGCGUGGGCGAUGCGGCAAUAUUGUGGGUAUUGGUACUAGGAAAGUUCUCAUUAUUGUGGUUUCUACUCCUAAAAUGGUUUGUAGCGUGCCGUUGUUUCACAACUUUCCAGUUAUACUUCCUUGGUAUUCACAAACUAUGUGUAAUAUUU